GAUGAACGCUGGCGGCGUGCCUAAUACAUGCAAGUCGAGCGAACAGACGAGGAUCUUGCUCCUCUGACGUUAGCGGCGGACGGGUGAGUAACACGUGGAUAACCUACCUAUAAGACUGGGAUAACUUCGGGAAACCGGAGCUAAUGCCGGAUAAUAUAUUGACCCGCAUGGUUCAAUAGGGAAAGACGGUUUUGCUGUAACUUAUGGAUUGAUCCGCGCCGCAGUAGCUAGUUGGUAGGGUAACGGCUUACCAAGGCACCGAUGCGUAGCCGGCCUGAGAGGGUGAUCGGCCAGACGGGAACUGAGACAGGGUCCAGACUCCUACGGGAGGCAGCAGUAGGGAAUCUUCCGCAAUGGGCGAGAGCCUGACGGAGCAACGCCGCGUGAGUGAGGAAGGUCGUCGUACCGUAAAUCUCUGUUUUUAGGGAAGAACAAAGGUGUAAGUAAUUAUGCGCGUUUGGACGGUACUGAAUCAGAAAGCCACGGCUACCUACUU
rnacentral:rRNA from 1 species